UUUGAAUUUUCAAAAGCCCAAGUCAGUCCCAGUGUCCCUCUCUUCCUGUUGUUUACAGAUCUGAUGUAGAACUCUUAGCUACUUCUCCAGCACCAUGUUUGUCUGCAUGCUGCCAUUCUCUCCACCAUGUUGACAGUGGACUAGACCUCUGAAAUGAUAUGGAGGAUCAUUGAAAGCAUAUUAUUGAGUUGUGGCCUUGUGCAUCCUUCAAGAUGUAACAGCAUACAUAUGUGAUGUUUACUCUCUUCACUGUCAGAGAAGUAAACUGUUACUGGGUGACUGAAUUUGGAAUCAUCCAGAGACACUACUGAUUGUAUAGAUGGACAUUGUCAGGGGUAACAUUCUCUAUGAAUGUGGGAAUCUUGUAAAAUUGGGUCCCAGAUUCUGAUAUGACUUGAUUUUGAUGAAAUAAAAACAGAAGAAA